GCAUCCGUAGCUCAGUUGGUUAGAGCACCACCUUGACAUGGUGGGGGUCGGUGGUUCGAGUCCACUCGGACGCACCA
rnacentral:tRNA from 1 species